rnacentral:rRNA from 1 species
UGGGGAAUAUUGCACAAUGGGCGCAAGCCUGAUGCAGCCAUGCCGCGUGUAUGAAGAAGGCCUUCGGGUUGUAAAGUACUUUCAGCGAGGAGGAAGGCGGUAAGGUUAAUAACCUUAUCGAUUGACGUUACUCGCAGAAGAAGCACCGGCUAACUCCGUGCCAGCAGCCGCGGUAAUACGGAGGGUGCAAGCGUUAAUCGGAAUUACUGGGCGUAAAGCGCACGCAGGCGGUCUGUCAAGGCGGAUGUGAAAUCCCCGGGCUCAACCGGGGAACUGCAUUCGAAACUGGCAGGCUAGAGUCUUGUAGAGGGGGGUAGAAUUCCAGGUGUAGCGGUGAAAUGCGUAGAGAUCUGGAGGAAUACCGGUGGCGAAGGCGGCCCCCUGGACAAAGACUGACGCUCAGGUGCGAAAGCGUGGGGAGCAAACA